AUGAGCACAGCCUGAGUGGUAUACCAGACACACCAGGGCUCCAACAUCCACUCAGAACCACAGGCACGGCGCAUCCCUGGCCCAGGUUCUGCCUCCCUCCACCUCUCUCAUUGUGUUAAUUCUCAGCUUGGGUGAUAUCCUUUUUGGAUGGGAGCUCAGCCAUGAACACUGACCAUGAGUCUUGCGAAGAAAAGCAUGAAUCCCAGCCAGAGACAGAAUCAAGAGGCCCCCUGGUGACAGACCUCGGCCUUCCUUCGGAGGCUUCCAGCCACUCAGAAGGCAGCAUAGGUUGCUAUAGGAAUACGGAGAACCAGCCUAUGCUGAGGGAUGGAAUUGGGAGAUAGAUCCAAGAGGAGGUGAUGCCUGCACUGAAUCUUGAAGGAAAAGUUGGAAUUACCCUGCAGGAUAAAGGAGGAAAGCCAUUCCAUGCAGAAGGAACAGCAGACCUUUUAUAUAUCAACUUCACAAUUAAGUACAACUAGUAUCAAGAAAGAAAAUCAUAUUUUUUUGGCUGUCUCUAAAGGAGAGCUCUGUCUCCACUGCGACACAGUCAAAGAUCCAGAGCAUCCCUCUUUGCAACUAAAGAAAAAGAACAUCAAAGAACUGAACUCACUGAACGGUAAGGAAAGUCUGCCCUUCACCUUCCUCAAGGAACAGAUUGGCUCCUAUUUCACCUUGGAGUCAGCUGAGAAUCACGGAUAUUUCAUCUACACCUCCAACAUUCCCAGGCAACCUGUGGGAGUGACGAAAGAUCUAGGGAAAGAAAAAAACACACAAUUUGAAUUUGAAAAUACCAGUGUGAAUCUCAAUGUAGUACAAGAUGGAGUAUACAAACUAACAACGGCCAAACCAUGCAUGACAAUGGAACUCUAACUCUCAACUUCUGUAGUAAUUGCCCAGAAUCAAGAUUUGGUCAAUAACUGACAACUUUUCUACUUUUAUCCCCACUUCCAACUCAGGACCAAUCAGAAAAAACCAACUAUGCUCUCCAAACCACUCACAGAGAUGCCCCGCCUCUAGCUUCCUCAGGCCAACUCCAAUCAAAGCACUCCUGCAGCCCUCCCUUCUUUGCCACCAUAAAGCUUUCCCACUCCUCUCCCUGCCUAUGAAUCACUGCCAAAUGCAAGUGAUGGUGGCUGACUCUCUUGCUAGAGCCAGCUCUGAGUAAAGAGAUGCUGCUUGUUCUCAUUUGAGUGGUCUUUGUUUAUUUCCAGAGAACAGCAAAUAAGAAAAUAUCUUCUCCCUAUAACAUGUUGUCUUCACCCAGCAAGCACAUGGGCUUUGUUUUCAGUGUCAUUUGUGCCUUUAAAGUGUAUGUAGUUUGGGAUAUAAAAAGUAGAGUGUGGUUAAUUACAAACUUCUACACUGAAAUAAAUUUCUGGGGAGCGAGGAUCUCAGUGCCUGUGGGUUUGCUGCUUUUCUAAACAGUCCAACCUCACUCGGGUGCCUGUUUCUCAAGAUAGAGCCAGGCCAUACUGGUUAUCUCCUCCAGGAGGGCAGCCUGGAUAAUGCAAGCUCUAAAAUUAGCGAUGCAAGUAGAGGCUGGAUGAAUUCUAGGGAGGCUGAUCCUGCUACAGGUGUAAACAGAGAGGUUCAGUGGGGUCCAGGCCCCAAGGGAUAUGGCAAGGCACUGUCUGUGAGUCCUCAGUGGGAGAAAAUGGGGCAAUGGAUGUGAACAGAUGGGAGGAGUCAGUGGCAAAGAAUCCGGAGCAGGUGGCAGACAGAAGCAGCUUCUGGGAGGUCUGAAGACAAGCAGCAGGGCGCUCAUCACUCAUCUGGGUGUAGAUCAAAAGCAAGACAAGGUCCAGAUCCUAAAGUAGGGUCAGAGUGCCAGGUGGGCAAUCAGAACAGGAACUGAGGCCCCAGGCACAAAUUUGGGGGCAGGGGAGGUUGGAGGCUUGUAUGGGUUUGGGUUCUAGGGUUGCAUGCAACAGACGUAAUGCUUAAAGUCUGGAGUGCUUCUCACCCACACAGAAACUAUUAUCUACAGAUGGGAGAGCCCAGUGAAAAUCUGGGGUCUGGAGGUGUUUCUUCCUCAAAGAAGCCCCUCUGAUUUCCUGGCUGGGGUACACACCCCCGUCAUGCACCAGGCACUGCUUCUCCAUAUGCACUUGUGGUUGGCCUGAUUAACAUCUGUCUCCCCACCAGACUGUAACUUCCUUGAGGACAGAGCUGCAUCUGAGUCUGCUCAGCCUUUCAUCCUCAACACCUAACACAGAGCCUGGCACAAGCACUUCUGAAUGAAUGAGUCAACUGGCGGAGGCCUCACCAGGCAGCCCACACUGUCCAGGCUCUGAGUGAAUAAUCCUCUCUCAGCAGCUGUGUUCUGCUGGAUGCAUCCUUGCUGGGGACAGUGCAUGGUCACCAGACAGGCAAUGCAAUGAGAUUUCUCUGUGGUUCAAGCUUACAUCACCUGGAGUAGGACAUUCCUAGUGGUUUGUGUUUAAGCCUAGACUGAACACUAGUGCUGAUGCCCAAUAACCCGGAAAUAGCUCUCAGCCAGAAAGGCACAUUAUCAUUUUCUAAUGUAUGGGGAGGAGGCAGCGUUUCUCAAAGUGUAGACCAGAAAGAAACACUUGAAUCAGAAUGACUCGGGGGCUUUUUAAAAACGCAGGUAGAUUCCUGGGCUACAUCCCAGAAAUGCUUAAAUGUGCAACCCUGAGAAUGUGUAUUUUUAAGAAGCUUCCCAGGUGAUUUUUAAGCACAGUUGUGUUUUAGCAGCUCAGGGACAAUGAAAAGAGCUCUGUAGUAGGAAUCAGAACACUUGGAAUUCUGCCACUUACAAUCUGGGUGACUGUGGUCAAGUUACUUGUCUCUGAGUCUGUUUUCUCAUCCAUGAAAUGGGCACGAAAACUCCCCCCUGCCCUCCUCACAGCAUUAUGGGGAUGCAACAAUCACUCAAUGCAUGUGAAAAUUACCUUGCAGACCAGAAAUCACCAUGACCAUGACAGUCUCCCAAAUGGUGCCCUCUGCCUGCUCUGCAAAAAGAGACUGUCCCUGCCCCAUUGGGUCAACUGACGUAUGAUCCUGCCUCAAGCUCCUGAAUGGAGCUGUUCAGACAUAGCACCUUCUGCAAGAGGGCUGUGGGGAAGUAAAAGGUAGUGUCAAAGUCUCCAGAUCCCCCAAUUAGGUGGAAUUUGGAAUGCAUUUUCCUGCUGAGAAUUGCCAAGAGAAGCUGGGCCAAGUAAAAAAACAAAACAAAAUGAAACAAACUAGUGUUACUUUUGCAGUAAAAAAUAGUGUAGGUUUUUGUGAGAGAAAUGGAGAACCCAACCAUCAUGCAUUGCAGCUCUCUGAUGGAAGCUGUGCUUGAAGUUCCAGACUGACUCAGGGAUGAAUGUCUGGAGGCUGCAUACAGUCUAUGGUCUCUUGCCCUAUAGAGCAGGAGUCAGCAAAGUUUCUGUUAAGGACCAGAUAAUAAAUAUUCUAGGCUUUGCAGGCUGAGAGGCUAUAAGCUUUAUUGUUGCAACAUGAAGGCAGCCAUAGACAACCAGUGAACAUGGCUGUGUUAGCAAACCAUACAAAACAAGCAGUGGGCUGGAUUUUGCCUGCAGGCUACGGUUUGCCAACACUUGCUCUAAAAUGAAGAUGUUACAGGUGGUUGCAGUGGUGUGCUACAGCCAGCUUCUAUCAGCUUGCAAGAGCCAAUUGUUAGCAUCUCUUACCAAUGAUAGGGUUCAGGGCAGGCCGCCCCAAGAUGCACCACUCUGGUAUGCGGAUUAUUUUGAGCUGAAGACAAUAAAGGCUCAGAAGUCUCAGGAAGAGCAUCUGACCUUCCCCUCUCAAACUGCCUAAAUGAAUUUAGCAUAGAAGGCCUGUUCCACAAAGGAGCUCAUACCACACGAUAGCUACAGUAUGAUAGAAAAUAGGUGUGAUAAAAGGACACCAACAAACCCAUUUUUUUGGCCCAGCAAAACCUGUUUAACAAACAUUUGCAUACCAUCUCUAUGUAAAUUGUCUUCCUCCCCUUUGAAGGCCCAAAUCACUAUCACUAACGUCCUCUUUGUCUGUAGCUGAAGAUAUUUAAACAGGCAGCCUCAGCCAGAUGGCUGAGUUACUCAGUUUCCCUG